rnacentral:lncRNA from 1 species
CCGAACAGUUUCAUUCGAGUCAAGCAAAGAAGCCUGUGGCUUUACACAGAAGCAAGUUGUUUACUUAUUAGAUAUACAUGAACUUUGCCCUGUAGGGGAAAUGGCAGGGUCAAUUAGUUCAAAUUUAACCAAAUAUUUCUUUUUCUCAUAGAAUAGUGGUAGAAUUAAUAUAAGAAUCUUUGCUCACUGCUGCUUAAUUAUAUGUAUAGCUUCUUAAAUGAUCAUUUCAAAAAGAAC